rnacentral:rRNA from 1 species
AGUGAACGCUGGCGGUAGGCCUAACACAUGCAAGUCGAACGGCAGCACAGUAAGAGCUUGCUCUUACGGGUGGCGAGUGGCGGACGGGUGAGGAAUACAUCGGAAUCUACUUUUUCGUGGGGGAUAACGUAGGGAAACUUACGCUAAUACCGCAUACGACCUACGGGUGAAAGCAGGGGAUCUUCGGACCUUGCGCGAUUGAAUGAGCCGAUGUCGGAUUAGCUAGUUGGCGGGGUAAAGGCCCACCAAGGCGACGAUCCGUAGCUGGUCUGAGAGGAUGAUCAGCCAGACUGGAACUGAGACACGGUCCAGACUCCUACGGGAGGCAGCAGUGGGGAAUAUUGGACAAUGGGCGCAAGCCUGAUCCAGCCAUACCGCGUGGGUGAAGAAGGCCUUCGGGUUGUAAAGCCCUUUUGUUGGGAAAGAAAAGAAGCAGGUUAAUACCCCGCUGUUCUGACGGUACCCAAAGAAUAAGCACCGGCUAACUUCGUG